rnacentral:lncRNA from 1 species
UAAAACCUAACCCUUCCCCCAUAUCGUCUCCUUCAUCUCUCUCUCUCUCUCUCUCUCUCUCUAAACACACGAGUCACUCUUUUCUCCCUGAUCUCUCUUCUCUCUCAACAACAUCUCCUCUGGAAAAGGAUCUGUGGCACAGCAAUGUCACCACCGGCCAUCAAGUAGUGACGCUGUGAGUUGUGCGCUUCCGUUCGUUGCCGCAACGAUUUGAGCCCCGCGUAUAUCGAUGCUCAACCAUGUCUUUGGGAUGGUCUUCAGCUGUGAAAUUUAUUUUGUGGUGUUUGUAGUGUAGUUUUGGUUGUGUGUUUUGCUGGUGGUAGUGGUUACUGGCUUUGGCGGUGAGGUUGCGGUGGUGAUUGUGGUGCCAAUUUUGGGCGGUGUGAGCGUCGGUGUUGCAACGGUGGUCGUGUUUUUGGUGGUCGGCACCCUGGCUUUGGGGAUUUUUUGGGUGGAAUUGUUGUUUUGGUGUGGUUGAGAUGGAAAGCUGGUGGUGUCAGAGGCAUGGCUGAACCUUUGGUGGCGCAAGUUUUGGUGACAAUGGUGCUACAAUGAUGGAAAGUUGGCAUGUUGUUUUGUUGGUGCGAAUAGUGGCGGUGGCGGUGGCGAUGGCCGUGGGUAAGGAUGGAAUGGUGGUGUUUGUGACCAAUUACUUGGGACCAAUAAAUUGUAUAAUUUGUAACCACAUAUUCAAAUGUGACCCGAAAAUUUGAUAAUAUGUGAGUAAAAAAUAAUCCGUA